AAAAAGGCUCUUUUAAGAGCCAUCAAUUACAUCAAAGGAAGAGCUG
rfam:Monodelphis domestica chromosome 2, whole genome shotgun sequence.